CUUGAGCUUUAAUAGGUAUGCUAGUCGAUCUGUAUAAAAUACAUUUCAGUUGUACAAUAUCUCCAAAAUCUGUAUGGCACAGGUAAUCAAUGACCUGAUAAUAUCGAAGAAGAGGAGACGUCAGCAGAAAUAUGAAGAUCAUAGAGCUGUUUCAACAUGUCAACAUAGAACUGAAACAAUCCUUUAAGUGGAAGAUUGCUGCUUUUACCAUUUUGAUAGUGGCCAUGGCCUGCGUCCUUUACGUUUCUAUCAGAGAUAUCGUAGUGUAUCUUAAUCAUGAUCCUCAUAAUCCGAAUUCUACUCAGCCGCCCAUACCUCCGAGGAUGCAUGGAUAAAUCAAUAGUUAUAUGGCUUCCAAUCAUCUAUGUGUUAUUUCUGAUGAGAAUUUAUUGAAGAAAUCGUGCUCUCUAACACGUAUCAUUCUAAAUGCAUCUUGAAUGAUAACAGAUCACCAUCAUCAUUUAUUCUCUUGAUGGAAAUGAUGAUAUCCGUUUUAUAUAUUCUGACAUCCAUACCUCCAAGGAUAUGUUGAUGAAUCAAUGUAUCCAAUUAUCUGUAUGUGAUUUCGGAUAUGAAUUAUCUGAUGAAAUUUUCUACUACUUUCUAACCUUCAUCAUGCUGAAUGCUUGUCGAAUGUUAACAGAUUUACCAUGAUCAUGAAUUCACUUGAUGGAAAUGAUGAUAUCUGUUUUAUAUAUUUUUAUGUCCAUACCACCAAGAAUAUGUUGAUGAAUCAAAGUAUCCAGUCAUCUGUUUGUGCUUUCAGAUAUGAAUUAUCUGAAGAAAUCAUGCUGCCACUUUCUAACCGUCUAUCUUGUUGAAUGCUUGCUGAAUUUCAACAGAUUUGCCAUGAUCAUGGCGGAAAUAAUCGUAGCCUAUCUAUAUAUUCUGACGAAAAUAUCUUCAGGGAUGCACGGAUGAAUCAAUCAAUUAUGUGCCUUUCGGAUCUGAACAGGUUGAAGAAAUCUUGCUUUCUAACCCUCGUCAUAUUGAAUGCUUCUUGAGUGCUGACAUUUCACAAUCAUCAUUGAAUUUUUCAAGAAAAAAAUGAUCAUAUUAUUUUUGUAUUUCAAAAUAAAUAGUUUUUAUUGA